GGACUACCGGGGUAUCUAAUCCCGUUCGCUACCCUAGCUUUCGUGCCUCAGCGUCAGUGGAGACCCAGUGAGUCGCUUUCGCCACUGGUGUUCCUUAGGAUAUCAACGCAUUUCACCGCUCCACCCUAAGUUCCACUCACCUCUAUCUCCCUCAAGCGACGCAGUUUUGAGCGCAGUUCCUCGGUUGAGCCGAGGGAUUUCACACCCAACUUGCGCCGCCGCCUACGCACCCUUUAAGCCCAGUGAUUCCGAAUAACGUUUGUACGGUUCGUCUUACCGCGGCUGCUGGCAC
rnacentral:rRNA from 1 species